AUGGAAGUUGUGAAAACAGAAAAGGUCAAAGUUUCAAAUGCUGUUUUAAUCAGUGGGUUAACUGAUACAGACCUUGAUAACGAAGUCUUUGGGUUUAUGGAAGGAUUCGGACCAGUUAACAGGCGCAUUAAGUUACCAAACUGUGAUCAGAUUAUUGUGGAGUUUCAACAUGAAGCCACUGUUAAGGAAUUAAAGAAACAAUGUUUACCCUAUGACAAACCUUGUACUAGGAACCCAGAUGUUUUCUUUCAUAUUCAAGACCUAGCCAGCGCGUACAGUCUAGAAACUAGCACAUCUGCCACUGAUGCCUAUCUGUCAGAGCUCAGGGACAUAGCUGCGCGUAGCAAUCAAUCAUUUAAAGACCUUCUAAUGGAGGAACUGGCAAAAAUUGGGGAAUCUUUAGGAAGGGAUACCCAUGCAUCUGAACCAGUCACUGAACCAGAGCCAAUGCUCCAUAGUGACCAAGUUACAUAUUCCCUGCCUUUAACACCAGAAGUUAACUAUAUGAACAACUCAAAGGACAAUUGUCCACCUACAGAGACUGGAAAACAAAACCCUUGCAUUCCACCAAAUCUUUUAAACACACCUGAGGUUCAGCGAUUUGUGUGCGUAAGUCUUGAACAGUCGCAUACAACAUGUACAUUUUCCCCCCUUAUCCCCCUGGUGAUACUUAAGAUCCCUUGUGCUUUCAGUCUUUCCAACUUCCAUCAGUUUCUUCCCUCACUCCGUCCUGGAAUCGGAGUCAGCUGGGGCGAUUUUAAGACGGAGACUUCCUGGACUAUUUUGGUAUCAAAGCUUUGAGGCUGCAAGAGGCAUGCUGUCUGAAGUUGACAUGUAAGGAAAGGAGGGCCUUCCUCUCUGACUGGUUCAUGUGGGCAGUAAGGGGGGGGGGGGGGGGGCACAGUCAGUAGCCCUUCCAGGAGCCACCUCUACUGGGAAAAUGAGCCUCAAAUGCUCCUCUUCAAGCCCUCACCCUCUCCACCUAAUGGUGGGACGGGGAGGGGGAGCUAGGGUCCAGUUGACUUCCUGUAGGUUUCAUGAAGGUUUGGGCUUUGGUGCAAAUAAAGUUGCUAUAGCAAAUCUGCAAACAACUUACACUUGGUUUAUGUUUGACACAUUUACUUUCUGCUUGGUGACGCGGCUCGCGGAUGGAACGCGCUUAACAACUUGCAGUGUUUAUGGUUCAUGCGGCUCGUCUCUGUGGUGAGCCAAUAUUCUCCCAAACUGUAGGGGGCAGCAUGGAGCUCUACAGCAUGCAUCCAACACUAAACCGCAGUAGAAUUAGAAACAUACUGUUGUUUACAACAUGGCAUUCCAGCAUUUUUAACAGCGUCCUCGUCUUUUCCGACAGUGCGAGCUAUUUCUCUCCAAGAAUUAUUAACAACAUGUUGAUCACGGUGAUCUUUGAGAGCUGAAUCAUACAAAUGUCUGUAUUUACCAACCUCUGCCAUACUAGUUCUUGCCAGUCCACCAUGUUGUUCCGCGUCCGACCGUCCGUGUGGUUCGAAAAUUUCCUAGGUGCGCGGUGUGGAAAUUUUGGGCCGUGCGGAGGCGCGGUGGAGGGGCGUGGUUGUUAAAAUGACGCAAUUUCGCCUCGCGGACGCGUCAAGCAUAAACCAACCUUCAGGCUUUGAACACAAACAUGGUCACAGAAUAAUCACCUCUGCCCUUGAGUGCCUUCCUUGAGAUGCUUCUGCUGGAACAGAAAACCACCUAUUGCCCUUUUUUAGGUCUUUUGUUGUCUGUGAUGUCAAACGGUUAUUUUCUUUUUGGGACUCUGGUAGAUUGUCCUAAAGCUGAAGCGGUAGCAGCCGGCUGUUUCUCCUUCUCUAAUACCGAGCGGAGAACCUCUCACACCUGUGGUGUUCUGCUGCUGAAUACGUGAGUGUGUGAUGGGUGGAGGGAAGUGUGGUGGUUUGGCGAGACCGACAAGCAAAUGGUCCAAUAGCUGCUUUCGGUCCACAACGUUUUAUGGGUGGAGGUUUUCAGACGAAUGCGAGAGAGCCACUUAAUAAAAUCUUUGUUUUUUUUCUCUUACAUCUCCACACAAUAUGUAUAGCUAUAAAAUGUCAGAAUGGUGUUAAGAGGCCCAAAAUAAAACAUUUGAUAACAUUUUUACACAAAUCUCAUUCAGUUGAUCAACAAUGGAAAUUUAGGAGUAAAGUUGUUGCUGCUGAAGUUUUCCAACUCUCCAGAUCCGAGCUUGACCUUUUUAUUAUUUUUUUGGGCUGAAAAGUUUCACAUUUGAGUCCAAAUCUUUGAUUUAUCACUUCUGUGUCUCAAGAUGUUGACCUUACAUCAGAUUUGGAACAAAUGAAAUGUGUCCAGUUUUUAUUCUGACAGAAAAUUGUAUUUUGACACAAAUAUUUUCUGGAGUUUUGAUGUGACUGUAAUCAGCUCCAGACCGAUGUAUUUAUGCAGACUGUUGUCCAGAUGACCCCCCCCCC
rnacentral:lncRNA from 1 species